AUUUUCAUCAGUCAUUACUCCAGUCUUCAGUGUCACAUGACCAAUCAGAAAUAAUAUGCUAAAUGUAUUAUCAAUAUUGGAAACAGUUAUGUUGCUUAGUAUUUAUUUAUUAAUUGGAACAUACUUUUUUCAGGCCUCUUUGGUGAAUAAAAUGUUAAAAAGAACAGCAUAUAUUUAAAAUAUAAAUCUUUUGUAACAAUAUAAGCUUAGACUAACGUUCAAAGGAAAUUAAUAUUUUAUUCAGCAAGGAUACGUUAAACUGAUAAAAGUUAAAAAAAACUUGCAUUGUUAUAGUAAAUUAAAUAAAGUAAAAUUAUGACGUUAGAUGCUUCAACUAGCCUAGGUUUUGAAAGUUUUUGAUUGUUUUUUUUAAGCAUUUUAACUAAGUACUACUGUUUUAAUAUAUUAUUAAUAACACAUUGAAUUAAUGCUACCAAUAAUAAUUAAGUUAUUAAAACAUAAUAAUAGUAAUGUGAAGUUAUUGUAUCCAGCGAGUCCAGCUCAGGUUACAGUGAGAGUUGUUGGCUUCCUGUUAAGUUUCUGUUGCUAAGGCAACCGUGGCGCAGCCGAAAUCUGUAUCCAAACGUUGUGCGAUAGCGUUUAAGUUUGGAUUCAUGGACGUUAUCGAAAAGAGAAUAGACGGCAUUGAGGAUGAAGCCGAGGAGGAGCUGAUUUCAGAAGAGAUUAAGGAAAUACGUCGAUAUGCUCUGUCAAACCAGCUGAGGGCAGGAUUUUUUGGACAAGAUGCCUGUGUCCAAACCGACGAGUCCGAGCUGCCAGAUAUAAAGAUACUCGCUGCCAACACUGCAGAGCUUGUGAAGGAAAUGAACAUGCUAAAAGAAGACACUGAAAAGAAACUGAAAAUAAUGCGUUUGCAGUAUGAGACCAAACUGCAGGAUGAAUCUGAUGCCCUUUAUGCAAGUAUGAAGGAUAAAAUCAAGAAUUUGGAGAACUGCCACAAAGAGAAAUUAUCUGUUCUUCGGAGAAGCUAUCAGCAGCAGCUCUCAGAUGCUAUGCAGGUGAUCAAAGCCAGCUAUAAGAAUAAAGAAGAGACGGAUCUGGUGUGUGAUGUUACUGAUGGACAAGUAAAGGACCUUCUGAACGAGCUUCAGGAGAAGAACUUGAAGAUUGAGUGGAUGGUUGAACAGCUAAAGAAAUAUGAGAUUGGCUCCGAGGGAGUGGAGGACCCCGAGAAAAGCAGACUGAAGUCAGAGAAUGAAAAGCUAAAAGAUAACAUUGACUCGUUGCACGUCGAGCUGGAAGAAGUUCACCGAGUCCUGGAAUCCAAAGAGCAGAGGCUGGCUCUGGAUUUGGCAAAGUUAAAAUCAGAGACUGAGGACAGCAAAAAAGCCCUUCAAAAGUUGAUAGGUGAACAUGAGCAACUGAAAAUGCAGUUAAACUUUGAAAGAGAAAGUGGCAGAGAAAAGAUAAAACAGUUAAAAGAGGAAAUGGAGAAAGAAAUUGCAUGCAUUGAAGCCUCACGCAUGAAGGAGAAAGGAGCCAUUGACAAGAAGCUUGAGAAUCAGAAACCAGCAGAGACUGCAACCAUGGAGCUUGCUGGGGAUACAGAGUUGGUUCAACAAAUAAAAGAACAUAGAAAGACUGAAGCAAUGCAAAAAAAGGAGAUCGAAAGGCUCAGUAAGCAGUUAUGCAUUUCCAAUCAGGCGUGGGAAAAGAAGUUUGAGAUUUUAAGACAGAGUUUCCAUGCCAUCAAGGAUGAGAUGUUCUUACGGCAGACGUUGCGGCGGCAGGAAGCAAUUCUGCACAACGCCUCAGUCAGCUUUGUGAUGGAUGCUCCUUGCUCACCACGACAGAAGAGUCGGCUUGGCAAUAGUAAUAUGGCUCCUUUGCCACAUAUAGGUGCUGGAGUCCAGCAGAAGAUAGACAUCGGCCUUCAGAGUGAAAGAGAAGCAGAUGCUCUUCCUGGAUUAGAUCCCAAAUUGAGUGUUGCAGAUGAGGAAGAUGAAGAAGCAUAAACUAGAGCUCUUUCUCCCUUUUCAAGAGGCAACCACCCUAGCUGCAUUUGUGUUGCAAAUACCUCCCCGCUGAGAAAUGUUUAUAAUAGGAGAAAUCAGUUGGACAGCAGUGAGGUUCAUGCCAGCGAACAACUGAAAGAAACCUGGCAACUAGGGAAAAAACCCUCUCAAGUCCAUCCUGUCGAACAAAAGGCGGUCGACGCAUUGUGCAAAGAUGCAACGAGUUCUGCGUCCCAGGCACAUGACGUGCAUCAUGGAAACAUAUUGUAUCGAAAUCGUUUGUGGGAGAAUACCGGGGAUGAAAAAGAAUGGGGCGCUUUGAUCCGCGCCCUGGGGUCCCGAGCUCCCUGAGUGCGCGCAGACUGACUGCAAGGCCUUAUUCACUUUCAGAUAGACACACUUACAAACGCCACUGAAUGAAAUUUGCAUAUUUGUAAUUUAUCACAUUUUAGCCCGACUUUUCUGUCUCUUUGCGGAAGGUAGAAGUCUGAAUAAAAACCUGGAUCAAUUAUCAACGCGAAGCUGUUCCCUUCUCGUAAGGCAGAACGCUGGCUCUUUUGGAAAAUUAGAAAAGUAGCUAGUUGUUGUUAGAAAAAAAAAGGAAACCUGCAACCAGUGGGGGAAAAAAAGAACCCUUUAAGCCAAAUUUUACUUUUAAUUUUUGUCAUAUGAAAAAAAGAAAACACACGAAAUAAAACACUGCUUUAAAAUGAUGCUACGAAAAUUACUAAAAGACAAAUUAUUUAAAUAAUUUACACGAUUCGAUCGUUUAUUUAUGGAAUUGUUGCAUGCAUCUUCUAGAAUGGAGAGUAGUUAUGUUAACCGAAUUUUCAAGUUUCUAAGACCUUAUUCCUUGAAGAAUUAUUAGAGUAUGUGCAAUUCCUUGGCCAUGCGCUCGAACAAAGCAGAAAACAUUAAUAUAAGUAUGGGAUCCAGGCAUUGUAAUGAAGUGACAGGCAGGGUCUGGAUAUCUUAGCACUGACACAAAACCGCAUACGGUAACUACAUGCCUGCCUUGAAAUACGAGAGUUUGAAUAAAGGAGCAGUAAUAUUUCAUAUGGGGCACGCAAAAGCUGGAUACAAUGCCUCUCAUAUUAAGAACAAUAUUCAGUCCAUUCUGUGGCGAACAAAGAUCAUAGCAAGACGUCUUUGAGGCUAAUUCAGUCAAAGGCACAUUUCGGCUUCCCCCGCGGUAAGGUCAGUGUCGUUGUGUAUGGUCCACCAAGGGUGGUAUGGGGUUCCAUGGCCAAGCAAAGCCAGCUGUCUCUGGUGUAGGGCGACCAAUCUGAAUUGAUAUUAUAACGCACCAGAGAUACUAUUGUGGCUAGUCGUGAACCUUGUGUUUUGAGUUUAAAGUUCAACGAUUUUUUUUCUUUUUUGCCUAGAUUACCACUACUAGGCAAAUGCAAGUUUUGUAAGCUCAGCUAUGGCUUCUAAGUAACUAUUUGGCUUUUUUGCGCAAAUAUUCUUGAUGUCUGCUUUGACCGUGACUUGGAAAAACACCAGUAGCCUACCAUUCACUGAACUGCUGUGCAUCGAUUAACCAUGUCAUAAAGUACAAAACUAUCAUUGAAAAAUGAUGGUAAUCACGAUCUUCAGAUAUUAAUAAUAAUGCUUGCGGUUAUAAUGUUUUAAUAUGUAUAAUUGCUUUGGAUAGAUUGGCUGUUAAUUACAAGGUAAAAAAUAAUUUUGCUUAUAAGUUUUUCAUUUUAGCGAUGGAUUAAGAUUUAAUGAGAUACUGUAAAACAGAGCACUUUAAUCAAAACAUUUCUACAGAAGCAAAUUAAGUGCAUAAAGAAUCCUCAUAGAAAAAAAGUGUGGCAAGCAAAUAAAUCUUAAGGCAAGUCUUGUGCUGCAAGUGGAUUGAACUUUGGGGAGAAGAGGGAGGCCAGACGAGCAAACUCUGCCAGCUACAAUUCCGCUCUUGUUAGCCGUGCCCGUGCGCAAAACCCCAGCUUGCCUUGGUGAUGUUUUAUUUUCAAAGGUCCAAUGUCAUGGAAUAAGUGUAUUUUUUUCUGGAGGUAACUGGCGUCUAUUGUUACAAAAUAGAAGGCGGUCCCUCUCCUUUUAUGCGCAAUUGAACAAUAUUUUCUUUUUCUUAAAAGUCCUGCACGCGUGCGCGCUUUUGUGCACUUGUUUCCCCUUAUCCUGUUUGGCUGCUAAGAAGUUAAAUGAUUCGCAAUAGACACCGGUUGCUCUGUCGAGGGGUUCAUCAGUACAAAGGCUGCUGCUUUCGCACCAUAUGCUUAAUGGAUACGGCGUUAAAGGCCACAAUAAAGGUAAAACGUGGUCUUUUAAAAGUUGGAAGGGUUCCCUUUAUUUGAUUUAGAUGGAGCAGACUACGUGCGCACAAACCCAAGCGCACCGGGGCACUGACUUGCUCUUUCUUUUUUGAGGCAUCGCAGCCACCACGUAGUGUGUUUCAUUACAACAUAAGCUUUUCAUCACCAGGCUUUGUCCUGAAUGAAAGUAAUGCUGUGAAUUAAAGAAAUGACAAUAUUUUCCAUCAACUUGAUGGUCCAAGAGAAGGG